CCUUAGAGUUUGAUCAUGGCUCAGAGUGAACGCUGGCGGCAGGCCUAACACAUGCAAGUCGAACGGCAGCACAGAGGAGCUUGCUCCUUGGGUGGCGAGUGGCGGACGGGUGAGGAAUACAUCGGAAUCUGCCUAUUUGUGGGGGAUAACGUAGGGAAACUUACGCUAAUACCGCAUACGACCUACGGGUGAAAGCGGAGGACCUUCGGGCUUCGCGCAGAUAGAUGAGCCGAUGUCGGAUUAGCUAGUUGGCGGGGUAAAGGCCCACCAAGGCGACGAUCCGUAGCUGGUCUGAGAGGAUGAUCAGCCACACUGGAACUGAGACACGGUCCAGACUCCUACGGGAGGCAGCAGUGGGGAAUAUUGGACAAUGGGCGCAAGCCUGAUCCAGCCAUGCCGCGUGUGUGAAGAAGGCCUUCGGGUUGUAAAGCACUUUUGUCCGGAAAGAAAAGCUUUCGGUUAAUACCCGGGA
rnacentral:rRNA from 1 species